CAAAUUCAUCGGGUCUUGCAUCUACAAAUGAAAAGGUAAUUCAAAUCUUAUUCAUAUUGCCAAAAAUGCUUGAUAUCAACUGAUAGAAGCUUCUCUUGCUAGGGAUUUAAACAUGUCAUUGAACAGUGAGGCUUAGAUUUGAAUAGCCAAAACAAUAUUACUUUUGAGUGGUAUUUUGUUUAAUUUUGGUAUAAAGUUAGCCGUAGGCUACUUCUGAAUUUGAGAAACAACACUUAUUAAAAAAUUUACUUUAACCAAACCAUAGGAUUAUUUGAACAUCGACUAUCCAAGAUGGUUUUGGUGAGUUUUAUUUUGUUUGUGUCGACUUUUAAUGAAAAGUGUUUUACAAACAGUUAACAAGAAAAUAAAGCUAAUUGUAGUUUGGUUAAAGUUGAAUAGUCAAGGCUGUGCAUUUUUCUUUUUAAAUGCCAAAUUGGUGUGAAAAUAUUGUCUUUCUGGACUCUUUGUGAAUGCAAUGUGUGUACUAGUUUGUGGGAGUACUACUACAUAUGUAAAAAGAGAGGUGUAAAUAUUUUUUUGGCUCAAAGGAAGCUGCAUGUAAGCUACGUGUGACAACAUGGAGUUAAAAAAAUAAAUUGUUACCCUUUAAAUUUUGAAUGUCAAAUCUAUUUAGAAGUUUGAUUGUAGGUACCUCGUUCACGUCUUGGUUACAUUCCACCUAGUGUUUACUAAUUAUUGUCCUUUUUAUAAAUUUUCUUCUUAAAAAUCUUAUUAUGGUAAGGAUAAUGUAUUUGUUCCCUUCAGGUGUCUGCCACUGCAGCUGACGUUGAGACAACUCUCAGUCUUCCUGCAAGUCCUCGCCUGAUACCUGGUAAUAUACAUUUAAUUUAGAAUCAUUGAUAGACACAUUGUAUAUUUUAUCCAUUCAUCUUGAGUUUACAAAUGUUUACACAAGGUAACAAGUAUUUCCAUGUUGUUAAGUUUCAAGUGCAACAAGGCAAGUCACAAUUAAGGGUUGGAUGAUCACCUUUAAGGGCUCUGAGGGCAUCACACCAACAUUUGCAAUUGGACUUGCUGCUAUGUUUGCAACCUACUACAUUUUCAGCCUUCAGUAUCAAGAUGAGACAGCCUGCCCUCUGGAAUUCAUUCAGAGGCACUUCAUCGAUAUAAAUCAAGAGAGAGGAACAAAUGCCAAAAUCAUCAGACAAGAUUGUCUCUAAGAAGAAAGGUGUGAUCGUCCAGAAGUCAUCUUCUGCAGUUAAAUACACACGUGGCCAUGCUACUGAAGAAUCUCCUUGACUUUUUAAUGGAACUUCAUAUAGAUCGUGGCAGCACUGGAAUAAUGCUGCAGAGAGGAACAGCGGCUACUAAAGUGAUGAUCGUCUCUUCUGGAUCCACAAGAACUAAGAUGUAAAAACACAAACCUACCUCACAGGACAAUUUUAAGAGGUAACCUGCAAGUCUAGCUUGCAGUGGCACAUGUGCCUAUACGGUUUCAUCCUAAAUGUUUUUUAUGCUUAUUAUUGAUACAUCCUGACAAAAUGUUCUACUGUACUAUAAUAGUUUCAAAAUGGCCUUAGGUAUGUUUUCAAAAAGUAAACUAUAGGUUAUGCCCUUCACAUUUGGUUAGGAUUAGGGGCAGUCUCUGACGAGCAAUUUAAGAACGUACGUUUAUUGCCAUAGUCUAAAGCAAGAAACUACUGUUUCUGUUUACUACUAGAAAGCUUUUUCAACAUUGUCCA